rnacentral:rRNA from 1 species
GAAGCAGCAGGCGCGCAAAUUACCCACUCCCGGCACGGGGAGGUAGUGACGAAAAAUAACGAUACGGGACUCAUCCGAGGCCCCGUAAUCGGAAUGAGAACACUUUAAACCCUUUAACGAGUAUCCAUUGGAGGGCAAGUCUGGUGCCAGCAGCCGCGGUAAUUCCAGCUCCAAUAGCGUAUAUUAAAGUUGUUGCGGUUAAAAAGCUCGUAGUUGGACUUGUGUCCCACGCUGUCGGUUCACCGUUCGUCGGUGUUUAACUGGCAUGCCGUGCGGACGUCCUGCCGGUGGAUGCGGUCGGCCGUGGGCCUCUGGUCUGCGCGUCGGCGGUCCGAUGAAAUCCUACCGCGGUGCUCUUCACCGAGUGUCGAGGUGGGCCGGCACGUUUACUUUGAACAAAUUAGAGUGCUCAAAGCAGGCAGUGGUUCGCCUGAAUAUUGUGUGCAUGGAAUAAUGGAAUAGGACCUCGGUUCUAUUUUGUUGGUUUUCGGAACUUGAGGAAAUGAUUAAUAGGGACAGACGGGGGCAUUCGUAUUGCGACGUUAGAGGUGAAAUUCUUGGAUCGUCGCAAGACGAACAUAAGCGAAAGCAUUUGCCAUGAGUGUUUUCAUUAGUCAAGAACGAAAGUUAGAGGUUCGAAGGCGAUCAGAUACCGCCCUAGUUCUAACCAUAAACGAUGCCAGCUAGCGAUCCGCCGAAGUUCCUCCGAUGACUCGGCGGGCAGCUUCCGGGAAACCAAAGCUUUUGGGUUCCGGGGGAAGUAUGGUUGCAAAGCUGAAACUUAAAGGAAUUGACGGAAGGGCACCACCAGGAGUGGAGCCUGCGGCUUAAUUUGACUCAACACGGGAAACCUCACCAGGCCCGGACACCGGAAGGAUUGACAGAUUGAGAGCUCUUUCUUGAUUCGGUGGGUGGUGGUGCAUGGCCGUUCUUAGUUGGUGGAGCGAUUUGUCUGGUUAUUC